rnacentral:rRNA from 1 species
UACGAAGGGGGCGAGCGUUGUUCGGAAUUACUGGGCGUAAAGGGCUCGUAGGCGGCCAACUAAGUCGGAUGUGAAAUCCCCAGGCUUAACUGGGGAACUGCGUGUGAUACUGGAUGGCUUGGAUUUGGGAGAGGGAUGCGGAAUUCCAGGUGUAGCGGUGAAAUGCGUAGAUAUCUGGAGGAAUACCGGUGGCGAAGGCGGCAUCCUGGACCGGCAUUGACGCUGAGGAGCGAAAGCUAGGGGAGCAAACGGG